rnacentral:rRNA from 1 species
GUAGGGAAUAUUGCGCAAUGGACGAAAGUCUGACGCAGCGACGCCGCGUGAGUGAUGAAGGCCUUAGGGUCGUAAAGCUCUGUUGAAUGGGAAGAAAAAAAUGACGGUACCAUUCGAGGAAGGACCGGCUAACUUCGUGCCAGCAGCCGCGGUAAUACGAGGGGUCCUAGCGUUGUUCGGAAUCAUUGGGCGUAAAGGGUGUGUAGGUGGCCAUGUAAGUCAGGUGUGAAAGCCCCGGGCUCAACCCGGGAAGUGCAUUUGAUACUGCGUGGCUUGAGUACCGAAGAGGGUAGUGGAAUUCCAGGUGUAGUGGUGAAAUACGUAGAUAGCUGGAGGAACACCGGUGGCGAAGGCGGCUACCUGGUCGAGUACUGACACUGAGACACGAAAGCAUGGGGAUCAAACAGGAUUAGAUACCCGAGUAGUCC